UGCAAGUCGAGCGGGCGUAGCAAUACGUCAGCGGCAGACGGGUGAGUAACGCGUGGGAACAUACCUUUUGGUUCGGAACAACACAGGGAAACUUGUGCUAAUACCGGAUAAGCCCUUACGGGGAAAGAUUUAUCGCCGAAAGAUUGGCCCGCGUCUGAUUAGCUAGUUGGUGAGGUAACGGCUCACCAAGGCGACGAUCAGUAGCUGGUCUGAGAGGAUGAUCAGCCACAUUGGGACUGAGACACGGCCCAAACUCCUACGGGAGGCAGCAGUGGGGAAUAUUGGACAAUGGGCGCAAGCCUGAUCCAGCCAUGCCGCGUGAGUGAUGAAGGCCCUAGGGUUGUAAAGCUCUUUUGUGCGGGAAGAUAAUGACGGUACCGCAAGAAUAAUCCCCGGCUAACUUCGUGCCAGCAGCCGCGGUAAUACGAAGGGGGCUAGCGUUGCUCGUAAUCACUGGGCGUAAAGGGUGCGUAGGCGGGUCUUUAAUUCAUAGGUGAAAUCCUGGAGCUCACCUCCAGAACUGCCUUUGAUACAGAAGAUCUUGAGUUUGGGAGAGGUGAGUGGAACUGCGAGUGUA
rnacentral:rRNA from 1 species